GAUGAACGCUGGCGGCGUGCCUAAUACAUGCAAGUCGAGCGAACGGACGAGAAGCUUGCUUCUCUGAUGUUAGCGUCGGACGGGUGAGUAACACGUGGAUAACCUACCUAUAAGACUGGGAUAACUUCGGGAAACCGGAGCUAAUACCGGAUAAUAUUUUGAACCGCAUGGUUCAAAAGUGAAAGACGGUCUUGCUGUCACUUAUAGAUGGAUCCGCGCUGCAUUAGCUAGUUGGUAAGGUAACGGCUUACCAAGGCAACGAUGCAUAGCCGACCUGAGAGGGUGAUCGGCCACACUGGAACUGAGACACGGUCCAGACUCCUACGGGAGGCAGCAGUAGGGAAUCUUCCGCAAUGGGCGAAAGCCUGACGGAGCAACGCCGCGUGAGUGAUGAAGGUCUUCGGAUCGUAAAACUCUGUUAUUAGGGAAGAACAUAUGUGUAAGUAACUGUGCACAUCUUGACGGUACCUAAUCAGAAAGCCACGGCUAACUACGUG
rnacentral:rRNA from 1 species